rnacentral:lncRNA from 1 species
AAUUUCAGUAUAUUACCAAUAUGCAACUUCAUAUUACUCAUCAUACAGGCAAAGGAAGAAACAGCCUGCCCACCUGGCUUCCUGCACCAGUGUGAAACACUCCUUCGAGAGCUAGAAACCCCUCUACCUGCAAAAGAACAAAAAGAAAACAAAUAUAGGUCAUCCUUAUCUCAAAUGUUAAGUACAAAAAAAACACAACAGGGUUUCCAUGUCCAGUCAGGAAAUCUAGUCCAUUGACCAUAACCUGAGAUGCCACCCCCAUUGUGCAGCAAGGUUUCCAUGUCCAGUCUGGAAGAGAAUCUUCGACAUCAAUCUCCCUCCACUUGGUCAUCAGAGCCUUCGCCGAGGCGUUGAAGUCGUCGAUAGACAGAGUUCCAUCCCAAAGGGAGGGCGCCAUUGCAAAAUCGCUACAACAACAACCAGGAAUGGAGCUACAACGGUACAAGGACAACGGGUGUACAGACCACUAGUUUUGGCAAACGAAAUUGAUUAUGUAUGUACAGUAUACAUACAGGGUCUGUCUAUUGACCAGACGCCUGUUUUUCCUUUCUAAAACAGUCGCCUGUUAUUUUGUUUAGAAGCAGUCGCCUGGUUUUUCAUCAAAAACCAGUCACAUUUUAUUGAGCUGUAAAACAUAAGAUAUGCUAUUGUGUGGACCAGAAUUACUCUAGUUACGUAUUGUUUCUAUGCUUUGUGUUCUGGGCCUUUUGUGCUGAAAUUUUGUGUGUUGGGCCUGGGCCUAUUGUUUUCAAAUGGAGGGCUUUGUGUCUAUAGAAAUGAUCAAAAUGUGAUGAGCUUCUACACAGAAAACAGAGAUCCAUUCUAAAAAAAGAAAAGGAAAACAGAGAUCCUUGUGUCAAAAAGAAAACAGAGAUCCUAAGAUCUGCUACAGGAUCUAAAACAAAAAGUAAAAGAACCUAUUUGCAAUUGCAACCGGGGAACCUACAACUUGCAAAUAAAAUGAGCUGCAAAUCCAAUGAAGCGAAAAAUAGAGGAGAAAUCAACCGAUUCAGAUUCAGAAGAGAGAGGAGCAACUUCAAGUCUGGAAGCUAGUCUCAAUAUCAAUACGUACAGGUGUUCACAAAACACCCCAAUCCAUCUCCUCCUCUCCCCUAUAGGCAAGUAUUGCUUCCAAUACAUGACACAAACACAUAAGGAGAACUUGAUUGCAACAGAAAAGUAUUGGAUCGGGUAAUUUGUCCACAUAUUUGGUUCAGGGUUCAGUAUGCCCUUCAGUAUUUGGUUAGCCCUUUGGUUACUUCUCUACAUAUUUCUGUGACAUCAAACCCACUUCAAACCUUGAUGCAAGAAGGUGCAGCAUGAAACUAAUGUGCAUUUCAAUCAUAGUAAUUAAUUAUGUUGGAACAUUUUGCAGGUAUAAAAUAUAAUCACAACAUCGACGAAUCAUGAUCUCCUAGUACACCCUAAUCAGAGAGCUACCUUGGAGAUGAAUUCAAGAGCACAAAAACUACACAGUGUUGACUAUUGAGGGACAGGGGAUUGAUAAUAUUUACAACAUGCAGAUGCAGAAUAGUGUAUAUCCCCCAUCUAAUAAGGUACGAGUUCCCCCACCCCACAGGACAGCACACUAGGGCUGCAUGUGCAGAGGACAUUUACAUCAUGUGCACACUUUCAGAAAAUACUUACUGCCAUAGCACAGAAAUGCUGAUCAAAGAAAGAGGGAGCACUUAAUAUUUAACAACAAAAGGAAUUAUAAGUAAACUACCGUUAUUUGAACCAGAAAUUUCCAAUUAUAUGUUUAUACACCUUACAAAAGACACCUCGAACUCGAGCAUAUAAGCUGCAAAAUUACCCUCACAGAAUUAAACAUCUAGCAACAUCAGAUCCAAAACACUUCGACAGAAAUACAGAAAAUGGGUGUUUCAGUUAACAUGCGAAAAAAGAUCAUCGUCUAAUCAUUGCCAUCACCCUUCUUGGACAAAAUGAAUCUACAAAUAAUAAGACAGAUGUAUAAUUAAGAAUGGAAUUGCAGAAGCUAUCCAAGUGUGAUUGGUCUGUGUGCAAUUCCAUCAGUAAGAACAACUGCAAUUGCAGUCAAUGUGGUAUGCAAAUGCAGCCCGGGUGGUAUGCAAUUGCAGGUGCAGGCACUGGAAAAUUGCAAAAAUAUGCAGGUGCUCGAAUUACAAAAAGGAAAAAAUAAAACCAAAUCAUGCAGUGCAGAGAUAUAGUCAGCAAACUAACAAUUAGAUCAUCUAUUUCGUUAUAAUAGCCCUCUCUGAAAUAAGAAUCGAUGAUCCAAAAGCACUUCUGGGAAAUAUCGACAACAAAAGCAAACCAGUGUGCUUUCUGGGAUAUAUAUUGAGCUAAAUUAGAAGGAGAAGAGCUAAAUUGUCACUGCUCAUACAGAAAAGCAUAUGGCAAAGCCAGAAAACAGAAAUCACAUGGAUUCGAGCAUAUACAAAAGCCAUAAUGUGUUGUGAAAAAACAGCCACAUGUUAUUUCAAGAAAAAUCAGUCACUUUUUUCUGAGCCAUGCAACACAUAUCUAAUGGGACCAAAACAAAACAAAUUAAAUAGGCAAACGCUCUCACAACACAUUGAAAAUGUAGUUCAAAAUACCUAUUGUAACUUUACACAUUACAGGUUGUACGAUCCUAGAAGUAGAGCAAUGCAAAUUACCAAAAAGAAGACUAUAUGUAGUUGCAAUUGCAGCCGGCAACAAAUCUAGAUUUGUCCUAAAAAAAAUGCAAUUGUAUUUUAAAAAUUCUACAGUUGCAACGCAAUAACUGGGUUGCAACUUGAAUUAAAAGCCACUGCAAGUACAAAAUUUGAUUUAAAAGACAUGCAAUCAGAAAAUUUGAAUUAAAAGCCUAGGGGGUUUUUGAUUUGGGAAAAGAACAAACCUCGAUAUUGCUCACGGCAGCUUGAGGAAGAGAAGGACGAAGCAAAAUUCGGUAAAACAUAAACUCAAGCAGAAAUCAACCGUCUCAGAUCCGUAGAGAGAACAACAACUUGAAGCCAGAAUUAUGGAAGCUAACCUCAAUCCCCCGUAGUCAAGGUGUGCCCACUGACCGCACCCUCUUCCCUCCCCUCCCCUUAUUCUUGACACUGGAUUUCCUGGGAAUCACACCCCUUAUCGGCCAAAGAACAAAGGAAAUUAAUGUAGCCACAAUAUAGAGCGAGCGAGAUGAAAAGGGGGUGCAUUUUGAUUUAAAAGGCAGUGCAAAUUUCAAAUAGAUUGCAUAACUGAAUGUACAAGACCUAGUACAAUUGCAAUUUCAAAAGGCUGGAAUUGCAACGGCAGAAAGGGGUGCAAUUUGAUUUAAAAGGCACUGGAACUUUCAAACAGAUAAUACGUUCUUAUUUGAAAUUAAUCUCAGGUCUUGCUUCUACAUUGCUUGUGUUGCUGCUACCACUAAAGACAGACAAAAAAGAAAGUAAAAAGAGUAUAUAUAUACUUGUGGAAGUAAUUUGAACAUAGAAGAAAGGAACAUAAAUGAAAAUUGCGAUUGCAAGUUGGUACACUUGGAAUUGCAAAAGUUAAAGUAGUGCAAUUAAAUUUAAAGGGCAGUGCAAUUUGCCAUGAUGAAAAUAAACUUAAAAAAAUGCAAUUAGUUGCAGGUUGGUAUACCUAGAAUUGCAAAAGUUAAACUAGUGUAAUUAAAUUUAAAGUAGAGUGCAAUUUGCCACGAUGAACACAAAACCCAUGAACACAAAAAUUGUAAUAAACACCUUAAAACAGCGAGCACAUAUAAAACAACUUGAUUUUUCAAAGCAUUUAUGAAAACACAACUUGUAGGCCAAAAAAAAUACAUCGGAUACAAACGAACCCAUCAUAUUUGCACCCAUAUAUGUAAGCCAAAGAAUGACACCCUGCUAACCAAAACACACCGAUGGACACUUUGUACUAAGGCCAAAAGCUAGACCCAUAAAUCAUCAGUCAAACUCAACAGAAAAUUAGACAUAAAAAAUAGCUGCAAAUUGGCCAUUACACUUGAAGGAACGUAUCGACAUCAUAUCAAUCAUAUUGACAUUUCUAGUAAAGUAUGGAUGAAAAGCACAAAUGAGUCUGACCAUGAAAAGUAGGGUAAAAAUGGGUAGAUACCCUACUACGGCUAGCGGGCCUUAAAAAAUGCUCCAUCAAAAUUGCGAGAACACAAGCAACACCAAAUCACAGCAGUUCAAACAAAAAUCAUCGCCACAGGAAUAAGCCCCCAUAAGCCCAGACUACAGAUUCCUGAUGUUCUUGUUCAUGCUAGCAAUACAAGCAAAAAACUGUGAGUAAGAUCAGGCUACAAAUGGAUACAUGCUGUUCCCAUUCAUGCUACACACUCGCCAAAUCAAACGAAAAUCCCUGCUUCCACACAAACGAACAAGUACAAUGAAAAAAUGAACAAAAAGUUUGUGAGUGAUUUAUUUCCCUGUGAUUAUUUGCAUCCAAUAUAUGUUCGGGCACUACCUCAACCCCCAUCUAGCUCAUUCCAACAAAGGCCUACGAACAACCAAAUCCCACUGAAAUUAGCGGCAAAGCGCGAUCGAAUCGAACCGGAGAUGAGUUGUCGCUGGUGAGGAAGUUCCCCGCGAGAGCUUGUCGAUUGGAGAAGAGGCGCGCCCCGGCAGCCGCGGACUCGAGCCGGAGACGAUCCCCGGCGCCUCCCCUGUCUCCUCGUGUACGGCGCGUCCCAAUCGUCUGCGCCGUCGCACCCAGCACGUCCGCAGCGUCGCGCCGUCUGCCAGCAGAAUCGCCCCGCCACCCUCCACCUCCCAAACCGCGGGCAACGAGCAGAAGCCCCCGCGCUGUCCUCUCCGUCUCGAGCGCGCCGCCUGGCAGAGUGGGGAGAGAAGACCAGAAGAAGGGUCGAGGUCCAGCGAGAGAGCAGCCAGAGGAAAAAUAAUUGACACGAAUCUUGAUGAGUAGAUCAAUGGUCCACAAAUCGCCUGCUUUUAAACAAAAAACCAGGCGCAUGUGCACUAGGAAAAUCGAUACAUAUAUGUUACUGUAAAAAUUGUUCAAUAAUACCAAAAAAGAACAGAACAGAACAGAGAAUAACUCUAUCUUCCCUCCCCAUGCCAAACCUAGGAAUUGCAAAGAGAAGAGUAGUGGAGUGAAGGGAGGAGAGAGCCUCACCUGCGGCGCCUGUCGACGCUAGCGGUCCUCGCCGGCACGAUUUGGUGCGGCGCCGCUGAGAGGUGACGAUAGAUCGAUCGAAAAGAACAGUGGCUGCUGACUACGGCUUCGUGAGGUCUCACGGUGCUCCAGGGCGCGGAAGCGAGGCCGGGAAGGCUUGGGAGCGGCCGCGCGGCAUGCUGCCGGCCGGAGGUGGAGAAGAAAGGCGACGUGUGGUGGCUAGGGCGCGCGAGGGGUCCUGGUGCUCGAGCUGGUGGUGCGGGACGGAUCAGCGGCGCGCGAGGGGCUCAGCGCGGAGACGGGGGAGCGGCAGACGCUAGCUCGCCGGAAUUGGCUGAGGAGGCUGUUUCGAUGGGGAAAAGAAACAGGGUUCCUGGAAACAGUUGGGCUGCCCACGCGAGGCCCUUCCUGAAAACAGUUGGGCUGCCCACGCGUAGGUGCCACAGUUAGGAAGGCACACGGGCUUUGUUUCGUAUCGCUCUCGCAGUCGUGGCCCACGCGUAGGUGCUGGAGUUAGGAAGGCCCACGGGCUUUGUUUCGUAUCGCUCUCGCAGUCGUGGCUGAAACGGACUGACUUUCGGCCGACGAGGCCCGUUGGUCCGAUCGGCGUCUGCGAAAAAUACGACGCCAAGAUGCUAGUGCGACUGUUCUAAAAAAAACUGCUAGUGCAACUGCGGAAAAAGAAAGUGCUAGUGCUAGUGGAUGUCUUGCUAAUUUGCUUAGCUUCCGAACUGACCCGAAAAUGCAAGAAUCCGAUGCUUGUCUUUUCGGAAAUUAGCUUCUCUUUGCUAAUUUGCUGGAGUUGUUUGUGUCUGGCCUCCGCAAGCCACUCCAGAGAGACAUGUGGUUGAUAUUCCCGGCCACCCUGGAGGACGCCAUGGAUCUUGCUCGCACCUCCGAGGAGCGGGAAACCUGCGCCUACUUGAACAUGCAAUAGGGCAACCUACACCAGCGGAGGAGCAAACUCCAGCAACAGCGAUAGGCUGCCCUCUAAAAGCAGCGCAUGCAACCAACCAUAAUGGCAGUGAAACGCAACAAUGAGUCAUCUUCAGCUGGGGCAGUGGCCGGAUAACCAGCAGCAGCAGUGGAAUCCUUCGGCCAAAAGAGUAGACCACAACGCUACAAUGCAGGCCAACGUAAUGAAACGACAGGGGUUCGAAGCAUGGUAAUGUACCCUUAUGCAGGUAACAUAGACAAAAAAAUACUAAUGGAAACUGAAAACUUACCCAAGUAUCAUGCUCUACAGUUCUUUCAUCGCUGAGGUUGUUGUUGUCCUCAGUCUGUUCCAGAAGAGGAAUUUCAGUAUAUUACCGAUAUGCAACUUCAUAUUACUCAUCAUACAGGCAAAGGAAGAAACAGCCUGCCCACCUGGCUUCCUGCACCAGUGUGAAACACUCCUUCGAGAGCUAGAAACCCCUCUACCUGCAAAAGAACAAAAAGAAAACAAAUAUAGGUCAUCCUUAUCUCAAAUGUUAAGUACAAAAAAAACACAACAGGGUUUCCAUGUCCAGUCAGGAAACCUAGUCCAUUGACCAUAACCUGAGAUGCCACCCCCAUUGUGCAGCAAGGUUUCCAUGUCCAGUCUGGAAGAGAAUCUUCGACAUCAAUCUCCCUCCACUUGGUCAUCAGAGCCUUCGCCG